rnacentral:sRNA from 1 species
CCCCCUGCAGGACGAAGAAAGAGUUAAAGGUCAGUUUAUUUUUGGAAUAAAUGUGGCUGUUACACCACUUAACACAUGUUUAUAUAAACAUGUUGCUUAUAUCCAGAUCUCAGGGAGGUGGUUAGGAAUGUCAAGAAACAUGUAAUGGCUGGGGACAUAGUUCAGUUGGUAGUGUUUGUCUAGUAAGCACAAAGUCUUAUUAUUGGUUCUCCGCAUGGUUAGGCAUGGUGGGACAUGCCAGUAAUCCCAGUAUUCAGAACGCAGAUGCAGAAGAUCAGGAGUUCAAAGUCAUCACUGAUCAUGCACAGAAUUCAAGGCCAGCCUGGGCAACAUAAGACCCCGUGUCAAAACAAAUAGCCACAAGAAAGCAUCUAGAGAACGGAGUCUGGGAUGAUUGUCACCUGUGACAGGACACCUUUAACUGAUCUGUCAACGGGUUUGUUGGCAUCAAGAACUGGCUUUACAGUCAGGAACCGCCUCCGAAUCCAGCGAUGACAGUGACGUCACCCGUACGCAACUGGGACCCGCAUGCAUCUGUUGCCAUGGCAAUCGCCAUACAUUCCCAGAGUUCCAGAGUCCACCUGGCCCACUCCUCACCUCUACCUGCGAGCGGUUACAUCACAGCCUAAAUAAAAGGCACCCUUCUUGACCUUUGCCCCCCUUUCUCUCUUUUCUCCCUUGUCUCCGACACUCCCUCUGUUCCCUUCCCCCACAAUAAACCUCUCUCACGUGGAACUGCAUUGGCCUGGCGUGGUCUGUCUGCAAUUCUAACACAACAGGGUUUGCUUUAGUUUGUGUUUUAAAGGCCCCUAAAGUUCUAUGUGUGAGAGGCUUCAUCUCUCCCUGUUUGUGUCUCUCUCGGGGAUAAAGUAGAAGGGCCAAGGCUUAAUGGAAGUUAGGUCACUGGACACAUGUCCUUGCAAGGGAGAUGGGGCCGAAGCCCUGUGUCUCUGUUUCCAUGAGUAAACUUUCUUCCUUUAGGACAUGUUUCCACUGCUGUGAAUACCGUGUCAUCACUGGUCCCAAACACAGGGCCAUGUGACUGGACCUCUGAAACAGGAGCUCAAACAUAGCUCUUCUUUUUAAGUUGGUUUUGGGUAUUUUCUUGUGAGGGGAAGAUGACCAACACCACGGAAGACUUCUGCAGUUUCCCUUUGUUAAAUUCUUCCUGAUUUCCCUGGGGCGGACAGUGGGUGUGGCAUAGACAAGGGAAGUGGGUGGGCGAACCCUGUGUGGGGAUAGCGGGUUUCUGUCCACACAAUUACCAUUGCUAUCCUUUAUUGUAAAAGGAAUCUGAGCUUUUCAAGCUGUGAAGACUUGUCACUAGAGAGAAUAAAAUACAUUUUUGGGAGAAAGACUCAGAAAUAAAUGGGGAGGCCAAGUCUGGCUUCUAGUAUGAA